rnacentral:sRNA from 1 species
GUUUUUUUUUUUGGUGAGUGACGGAGAGGCUUAAUAAAGAUGUUUAUCUUAGCUAAAGUUUAUUGGUUUCAUUAAAUUUAAUCACUUUUAUACCU